AUGGCUUGAUUUAUUUCUCUUGUUUCUACAAUGCAGCCUUGAGGAAAAUGCAAUUUUUGAGGGGUGGUAUUGAUAGGGGAUAUGGAUGAAAGACCAAUGGAGUAUUCUACAAGAGAAGGCUAACAGAAGAAAUAUAAGGAAAUGCAGAGAUAAGAGUAACAGAAUCACAUGCCAUGUGCAAAUAGAAGUAGGGGAGAGCCAUUUGGAGUUCUGGUUGGG
rnacentral:misc_RNA from 1 species